rnacentral:lncRNA from 1 species
CCCUCAUCCUGAGAGAGAGGAUUGUUGAUUAUCAGAUCUUGCUGUCCUGCUUUCCGAGGGUUUGUAAUGUGAAUUUCUUUUAUCUUAUUAUAUGAAGUUCUUAAUUCUGAAGUGUUUUUAAUCCAUUGACUUCUGUCUUGGGGUAGAACCUCCAGAAACAACUUCCAGCAAACACUACGGAACCUGCUGCUUCUCAGCUGCCCAUUAAUCCCCUUCAGCCGUAUAGUUGCCAAGUAAUUGUUGUUUACAAAUAGUUCUUCCCAUUCUUUACUGUAAGAAAUAAAUGUUCCAGCAGAAUCUGAUGUGUGCUGUGUGCUUCCAUUCUCAUUUGAUCCUCCUUCCUCUGUUUUGUUCAAGUAACUCUGCAAGGGAUCAAUGCCUACUUCCUGUUCCUCUGUUUGUAAAGGGUGACUGGUUUCAGAUACAGAAUGAUACAUAUUGGCAAUAAUUUCCACUGAAGGAUAUUUAUAAUACUGCAAUAGCCUUCUUGGUGGUUCUCUUACUAUCUUCUGCAAACCUUCAGAAGUUUUGCUGCUGCUGCUGCUGCCUGCAGUGGCAUGAAGAUCUGGCUCAGCCUCUCUCUCUCUCUCCCCGCUCCCUCCCCGCCUCCCUCCCUCCCUCCCUGCGCUGCUCGCAGACCCCCGCGCCGGCCCGGCGCCCUGCGAGGGACGCGGGGCAGGGGGAGGCGGUGGGGGAGGCCCGGGGAAGGGAAAGGAAGAGAAGGGAAGGGGAAGGGCUCCCUGCCCGCACGCGGAGACGCGCGAUAGCACCGCCUCCCAUCCCCCCCUCCCGCCCUCCUUCUCUCCCUGCGCGCAGGCGCUCAAAGCGGCGGUGAGGCCGCGGCAGCCGUCGGGUUGGGGUCGGCGUUCUCAGCUCCUGGGUCCCGUUUCCUCCUCCCCGCUCCCUGCGCGGCACUGGGGCAAGAGAGGGGCUGAAGGGCACCCGGGAAGGCGGCGGCGGCCUGGCAGGGCGGAGGAGGACGAGGAAAUAGGGAUCGGAUCGGGCUUCGGCACGGGCAGUGGUGCAGCUCCAUUGCUGCCUGCUCCUCGCGAGCCCUUGGAGGCAGCAGCAGCAGAAUGGGGAGCUGGGGUUUGUUGAGAUUAGGAGGUUUUUUGUUGUUUUUGUUUUCUUCUUCUUUUCGGGUGCCAUUCACCCUCUAAGGAUGCCCAGGGUGCUGUUAUGUACAUAAAACAUACCUGUAGUGGCUUAAAAUGAGGUAGUUUGAAAUGAAUUCAGUGCAGCUCUCCCUGGAAGCAGCUGGCUGGGUUCACGCCACUCAGGAAACUUCCUCAUAGAAGGAGGACGUGAAUGUCAUAAACCACUGCCGUGCUGGAACAUUCUAAAUGAUGCUCUGAGCUGUGUUUGCUGGCACCCAGGCUGACCGGGCGCCUCCUGCCUGGUGACAGGCCUGCGGCUGCCAAGGACGCUGCUUUAGCACCACUUGGGCAUUCAUUAUAAGUUCUAAAAGUAUGUGAGCUAUUUUAGAAGACAACUUAGCACUGGAGGGUUAGUUUUACUUGCCAGAAGAGCUGUAACAUACGUAUUUAUCAUAGAAUUAUUACUGUUGGAAAAAGACCACUAAGAUCAUCCAGUCCAACUGUUGACCCAUCCCCACCAUGCCCACUAACCAUGUCCCAGAGUGACACAUCUACGCAGUUCUUGAAUGCCUCCAGGGACAGUGACUCUACCACCUCCUGGGCAGCCUGUUCCAAUGCCUCGCCACUCUUUCUGAGAAGAAAUUUUUCCAACCAUCUGCCCUGAACAUCCUGCACAACUUGAAGCAAUUAUCGCCUGUCCUAUCACCAUUACCUGGGAGAAGAGGUCAACAACCUGCAACCUCCUUUCAGGAAGUUAUAGAGAGCAGUAAGAUCUCCCCUGAGCCUCCUUUUCUCCAGACUGAACAAGAUUCCUCAGCUGCUCCCCAUGAGACUGGUGCUCCAGACCCCUCAUCAGCUUGGUUGCCCUUCUCUGGACAAGCUCCAGGGCCUCUGUGUCUUAUAGGAAGGAGCCCAAAAGUGAACGCAAUAUUCAAGGUGCAGCCUCACCAGUGCUGAACACAGAGGAAUGGUGCACUAUUUCAGAUACAAGCCGGGAUGCCGUUGGCCUUCUUGGCCACGUGGGCACACUGCUGGUUCAUGCUGAGUAAAGAGAACCAACACUCAUGGAUCCUUUUCCUCUGUACAGCUUUCCAGCCACUGUCCCAAUCCUACACUGAUGCAUGGGCUUCCUGUGACCAAAAUGCAAGACCUUGCACAUUUAUACAGCUGUCCAAAAAUACAAUAUGCCCUAAAUUGCUGUUUGCCACAGUUAUGUACUUUCAGAAUAGACCUGGUAAAGCAGUGGAUACCUAAGAUUUUUGGAGAUGCUAGUACAGGACAAAAAGGACAAAGUAGAGACAUAGUCCAUAAUCCAACACUAGCUAAAGCAGUUCUAUUACUUGUGUCUCAAUCUAGGAAAAAUGAGCCUAAAAUUGGCACGGUUUGAUAGCAUGGACAGCAUAGGAAGGAAGGAUCAGUCUAUCUGAGAUGAACCUCGAAAUAUGAAUCUAAAACAAAACUUAGUAACUUUAGUAAUGAUUAUGUAAAGAAUGAAGGUGCUGUGUCUCAUCUCUGAUGACAUUUCUUACAAUCCUCCUGAUUUCCAGAGGAAAAACUUUAGUGCUCUGUGGGCUGUUUUAGAGCAAUAUAAUCAACACAUCCGUGUGGUUUUGCCAAAGAUACUUUGAAAGGAAGUCUCCAUGCCAGUCCACAGAUGUUUUCAAUUCCCAGAUGUUAAGAAAAAAGAGAGACCAAAGUAGGUUCCAGCCUGCUGAUGGUAGUGUUUUACGUCAGUGCACUGAAAUUUCUUGCUACAACACAACAGAAUGUUUUAAAGUAGAAAGAGGAAUUUAAAGUUAAAAGUUUGCAGAUUUAAAAGCACAUAGGCA